rnacentral:rRNA from 1 species
GACGAACGCUGGCGGCGUGCCUAAUACAUGCAAGUCGAACGCUGAAGGAGGAGCUUGCUUCUCCGGAUGAGUUGCGAACGGGUGAGUAACGCGUAGGUAACCUGCCUGGUAGCGGGGGAUAACUAUUGGAGACGAUAGCUAAUACCGCAUAACAGUAGAUGUUGCAUGACAUUUGCUUAAAAGGUGCAAUUGCAUCACUACCAGAUGGACCUGCGUUGUAUUAGCUAGUUGGUGAGGUAACGGCUCACCAAGGCGACGAUACAUAGCCGACCUGAGAGGGUGAUCGGCCACACUGGGACUGAGACACGGCCCAGACGCCUACGGGAGGCAGCAGUAGGGAAUCGUCGGCAAGGGACGGAAGUCUGACCGAGCAACGCCGCGGGAGGGAAGAAGGUUGUCGGAUCGUAAAGCUCUGUUGUAAGAGAAGAACGAGUGUGAGAGUGGAAAGUUCACACUGUGACGGUAGCUUAACAGAAAGGGACGGCUAACUACGUG